GAUGACUACAGACAUCUGUGUUUUAUAUCCAUAUGAUGUCUAGAAUACUUCAGAACUGUAAUCUAGACUAUGGAAGCUCAUUUGAAAAUGCAAAUGUGCAUUUAGUUAAUAUAUCACUUGUGACCCUACGUGACUCACGGGCAGAGCAGAGGCUGCUGUGAGCUGUGUGCGUGGAAGGCAUGCAAGCUGAGUGCGGGGAGCCAUGCGACCACUGUGGAUGGAGGGCCAGCCCACGAGGCAAGCAGUGAUGGCUGUGUCACAAAGGAGGGGGCCCGAAGCUGCAAGCACUAAGUUAACUGGCCCAGGCGCCUGGACGAGAAGCUUCUGCAGGGGGUGGGGACUUGGAGCAAGUGAAACAUACUUCUACAGCUUCUAGAUUGCACAUUAUCUAUGACGACAUCACUGUUGUGAUGAAGGUUUAACCCUUCUCGAGUGCUUAGUACCCUGGGAGAGUGCAACUUGGCAAAGCGGACAUGGAAGGACGUCCUAGGUCGUUCUGCUUCAGGCUCCUGGUCCCCUGCACUCCCUUUCCCCUCAACUGAAAGGGAUGGAGAGAGUGGUUGCAGGCUCCAGCACAGUGGAGGAAAGGGCUGGCCUUUGGAAAACCCUCCCUUUCAGACUUUGGGAGCUGGCCUGCUGUCACGGCCACAAGGUUCCAGCCAAAGGAAACAGAAAACUUUGCAGGCUUUCCAUGUGGCCUCUGGAUGGAAUAAAAGAGUCUGAAACAUUGUUCUGAUGUUUGGACUUGGGACUCCCAGUGGCCAGCAGGAAGUCAGGGACCACAUGCUCAAGCCACCGAGAUGCCUGGGACCGCUAAGACAGAGGUCAGGCUGGCAAAGGCUUAUCCCAGAAAUCUUUAGGUUUUGAUUUAAAAACCUCCACCUAUGGGACCCCUGCGGGGUGCCAGGCACUGGGCUAGCAGCUUUGCAUAUAUUAUAUCUAAUCUUUCCAGCCACCUUGCAUAGUAGGUGUUAUUAUCCUCAUUUUAGAACUGAGGAAGCAGAGGUGUCAGCUAUGAUCUUCUUCAUGGCUCUUGGUCCUGCUAAUAGAGCACAGUUGGAAGAGUCCUAGUUCUGUGAAGGAUCUGAAAUGGAAGGAAUAUUAGAGGUCAUGUCUACCUUCCAAGGAUAAUGAUGAAAAGAGAUCGAGAGCCAGAAAUGUAAAUCAGUCUGCUCAAGGACACACAGCAGAGCUGGACACUUUCAUAUCCAUCUCUUCUUUCCCAUGUCCUAGCAGGAGAACAGAGAGAUGUGGUUGCCAUCUGGGAUGAAUGGAGCAAAUGUCAAGGCCUGCUCUGGCCCUAAGAAGCAAUGAUCACCACAGAUAUGGAAGGUUUCAAAGGUCUUCUCACUCAAUAGGGUCGACAUCUCUUAAAAAUGAGGGAAGGGGAAGCUUGGUAGUUCUGGGAGGAAAAAGUAACUUGCCAAUGAUAAAAAUGGAUAUCCAUGUCUGUAAGAUGUUUUCAGCCUUUCACAAGAAAAGUGCAGAAGCAGAGUCGGCAGUUUUAGAAUUGUCUUUUUUCCAUCAUCUCGUAAUCACCAGUGUCACGCACAGCUAAAUCUUUGCUUCCAGGGGCUGACAAGUUUGCUUUUCUCUUUCUUCGGUUUGCUCCAAAUUGCUCAAGGUUCCAGCAGAAAGCUCUUUUAGAAAUGUCCCUGUAUUAUCUCAUGAAGUCUCCAGGGAGUGUAUAGCCCACAUUCAGUGCUGUGACAUAAACACCAGACUCUUGGAGCCACAUGCGGGAUGGCCCAGGUCCCCGCAUCUUGGAACUCAGACAUGGUGUAUAUACUGGGGUCUGGCAUCGGCACCAGAUACAGAGUACUUAAGAAGCAUUAGGGCUGAAAGGGAACUUGGAGGCUAUUUCAAACUCCCAUUCUCUGAAUUAAAUCAUACCUAUUUUUCAUCUGACCAGUGAGUGGCCUUCAGAAAUUCUCAGAUAGUAACCUGUUGGUUCAGCGAUUGGGUCAUUUACAAGGGCACAGAAAAAGUAGUUGAAGUGAUUGGUUCUAUUUUUCAUCUUGAAUGUUCUUUAAGAGACAUUUUUACUUAUCUGUAUGUGAAAAUAAUAGUGGAUAAACCUGUUUAUCAAUGGAACAAAAUACGAAAUCGACACACAUUCAAGAGUUUCUCCUAGCUAGUCUUAUCCAUGCUUCCUACACUUCAGCCACUGGAUGACUUGCUGGUGCCUGAUUAUGUCACGACGGUGCCCAAAGGAAAUAAUAGUAAUACCUUUUUCAGUGUGCUAUCUAUGAUUUACCCUCUUAUCAAAAAGGAUUUGAUACUUGCUAGUUAACUUUUCACAUAGUAUUGUCCACUUAACCCUAGAAAGGACCCCUUGAAAGGGAUCUCUGUUCCCAUUUUCUAUUGCCAAACCUAGGCACAGACAGGGGAAACAUCUAGCUCAAAGUCACUUGGUGUUUUAGAUGUAGGAGCAAUGGGUCUCCUGAGUUCCAAUCCAGAAUUCUUUCCUCUGUAUUGCAUGGGAUAAGGCCUUAGUUCUCCCAGAUUUGGUGGAGAUAUUUGACCACUGAUACUUGCUCCCAAGAUGGGAAAAACACCUGCUGUUGCUUUGCCAUAGCACAGUACCACAUACCUCAUGUGCACACAAGCUUCCCUGCCUUGAUUCAUCCUGUUCCCUCUGCUGGGAAUGCCCUCCCUUCCUCUUCUCCAAAUGACCAACUCUUCCGAAUUCCUUUUAAGCCCAUGUGUUCUCUGACUAAUUUUCUUUUCUUGGUCCCAUGGUGCUUUGCAUGCCUCCACGACAGCAUGUUAGUGGGCAGGAAGCCAUAGCCAGGUGUGUCUCAUGGAGUCACAGAGGGGACAGAACCCAGUGACCAAUUAGAGGGAAAGCUUGUUCGGAUGCAGGAUCAAGUCUUCGUUUUUAUAUUUUCAUCACAAUGCCUGGAACACUAGGUAUUCGGUCGAUGUUGGACCUGAAGUUGCUCAGAGCCAGAACGUCAGCCUGCUCCUAGAAAGAAACAAGGUGGCAGGCAAGGAGUAAUGUAGUAAACAUGGAAACCAGGAUCUCAGCUUUCAGAUUUCAAAGUGAAUUUCUUGAGGCUACAGAUAACUUCCUACAGUGCCUAUGCACUUCAGAUGGUUAUGAGCACUUUGGAGGGACUCUUGGAACUCUGGGAGAUGGGCCUACCAGCAGUUCGUGUCUCGAAUGAGCGUUAGCUCCCUUAACUAAUGCCUACCUGACUGCUGGUGUACCACGCACUGUUGCCUUAGCCUGUAUUUUUCUUUCUAUGUGUCAAAAACAACAUUAGAUGGAGAAAAUGAAUUGAGUGUGUUGGAGGGCAACCUAUGAGCCCCAGACUAACCUCCCGUUUGGUGAUGAUGUAUCCUAUUUCAUUGCUAAUUUUGCAAUUAAGCAGGAGGACUUUAUAAGCCCGAAUGACCCAUGGAUUGUAUCUUAAUCAAAUAAGGUGUCUAUAACAUAAGACCGAUUCAGUGCUCAACUGUUAGAACAACAAAUGAUGCAAAGCCUAAAUUUUCUCCUUCCUUUCUCUCUCCUCUCCCCAAAAAACCCUCCAUCACGAAAGGUCAACUAACUGAAAAGCUGUUGUUUUGAGGGCUGACAUGAGAUCCCAUUGGUUAAAAAUGCGAGAAGCCUGGCUACUUCCCCUCACCCUACUUCAAACCAACUGUAUGUGUGUGAUAGUGUGUGUGUAAGUUUGGAUGAAAAAAAAUUGUGGUUAAUUCUUCUUGUUGUGUACUUCCUGCCCCUGACAUUUGUUGCUGCUGCUGUGUAAUGUAGUUGAGGCUGAGUGGAAGAAUCAGAUGCAAAUGACCUAGAGAUGUAGUCCUCAGUUAUGCCUGUUCUCCUCAACCUCUGUUCUUGGAAAACCUGGAAAGUAGAAAAAGGUGACCAAGGAAGCCAGCUACACAUUCAUCACCCUGAAGCAACCCCUUAGGAUAUUAGAUCAUUUUAGUUCGUAAGUAAUUUGAAAAACGUACAAUUCUGUUUAAUAAAAUGAUAUAUGUUUUAAGACUAUAAGUCACAAAUAAUGGUUUCUUAAAAAAAUAUUUUAUUUACUUAUUUGUCAGAAAAAGGGAGCACAAGCAGGGGGAGCAACAGACAGAGGGAGAAGUGAUGUGGGACUUGAUCCUAGGACCCUGGGAUCACGACCUGGGUUGAAGGCAGACACUUAACUGACUGAGCCACCCAGGCACCCCACAGAUAACGGUUUCUUAAAGAAGACUUUGAGUCAAGGGCUAAGGCUUAUGUUUUCCUGGACUUGAUUCAUCAACUCUUAGAGGGACUUCAGCAAUGGUUUCCCAUCCUCAGCUGAUCCAUUUUCCAUGAUUAGUAGAGCAUUUCUUAAUGUUUAUCAGGUCACAUGUCUUCCCUAUUUAAAAUCUUUUAGUGGGUUCCAAUUCCACUAAAUUCAAAGCGCUUGCCGUAUUUACAAGGCCUACAUAAUGUGACCCUUCUUUGCCUUCUGAACUUCCCUCCCCCCCCCCCCCCCCCGCUACACUGGUCAAUUGUUGCCAGCCACAGGACCUUUGUAAAGGCUGUUUCAACUAUUUGUUUGCCCCUCUGCUCCUUUCCUGGCUUACAGCAUAAUGGUCACCUCUACAGACAGGACUUCCCUGACCCACCAAUGAAAACUAUGCCAUUCUUUCUGUUAGGUCUCUUCACACUUCCUGACACUUUCCCUUUCGUGAAUGUAUCAUAAUGUAUCUUUGUAUUUAUUUCUGUACUGAAUUUUUAUUUAAUGGCUGUUUACUCACUACUCUACAAGCUUUACGUCUGUUUGAUAAGUCACUGUAUCCAGUUCUGGGCAUACAGUAGAAGCUUAAUUAAUAGUUAUUGAAAGAGAGAAUGAGCAACCCAUUGACUUUCAUAAUACUUAAAAUUCCUUAGCCUCAGAAUGGGAGUAGUCAUCUUUAUUUUACAACUAGCUAUGGAAUUCAACUUGAUAGUUUUCUUACACAGAACUUUAAAAUAUUAACAUAUUGGUUGGCCAUGGAAGCCAUGUGAGACUGGGAGUUUUUUCUUUUGUUUUUUCCCCUCUGUUGAGAGUUCAGUGGCUCAUAUACUAGGGAUUAGGCACAGCCCCUCUUCUUCAUCUCAUGCCAGGCCAGGCUAGUUGCAUUUCUUCUGAAUCUCCUUUCCUUUACCCCCUCCAGUCAUUGUCUCUGCCUUUAACCAGCCCAGGAAAUCAUAAGGAACACAUAUGUCAACAGUUCAAGGCUCACUCAUCACCAGUCCCCCUUUCUUUAGGAAUUUCUUUUUGUCUAAAUAAUCUUGGAGAGUUUUAAAAAGAUGCUCAGAGGUUGUUGAAUAAGAUGCUAAGUGCCAAAUGCCACUGUUCUCCCAAUCCCAUCUCAGCAGGAUCCAGGUCCUGUCCUACUUUCUGCUUGGCCUCCCUUUCCCUUUGUCCUUCUCACUCAGUCCUUAGAUGCCAGAGCCCAAGUUUUUCCAGGUGUGUACAUAUGAAACCCAUGGCUCUGAUUUCUUUUCAGUCCAAAAAUUUCUUCCAGGAUGGAUACAGACACCUGAGAGAAGGUGAGAAUAAAAGGAGUCAUGUUUUCCAAAAAAUCCAAAUCCUUGAGAUUCCUUUAGCCCAGAAUGGGAGGAGAGUAUUACUACAGUUGGUCCACCUGUUUGUCAAGAAAGUGGGAAAGUGUGCUGUGUUUAAAAGAUGAAUCAUGGAGGAGCAUUGACCUCACAUAGGAUUUUCCAUCUCAGCUCUGUGUAUGUGCUGGAUUUCAGCCUCUAGAAUUCCAGUAUGCGGAGGGGUUUUAAUGUUAUCUUAAAGCAGUGAUGUCCCUAACCCCCAAGAAGCUAAGAGGAUGAGGGGUGUGGAGAGAUAUUUAUAGAAGACCAAUGAUCUGCUUUGGAGUAUGAUGCCUGCCUGGGAAAAGUGACGAGGCUGGCAAUGUCCGAAAAGGUACCACCGGCACCAGACCAACCUGCCCUAUUUGAUAAACAAAGACUACUGGAGAAGACUGGGAAAACAGCUAAAGAGUUGUUCAAUAUUUUGCCCAUGAAAUGUGCAUGGAGAACAGAAAUUUGAACAUCUUCCAAAAUAAGUGGCACUUAAAGGAAUGGUGUCCGCAUAUUGCUGGUGUGGAGCGAGGGCAAAACUGCUGGUGAAGCAGGAAGGGUCUCGUUCAUUUGCCCUUGUCGCUCCCCUUCUUCUUAUCCAUUCAGCACCCCUGGACCCCCGCAUAGACUCAUCUUGUUUGUUUUGUUUUUUGGGGGGAGGAAUAGUACCAAUGAGGCCCAGCCCCUUUCAAUUUUUCUUUUCUUCUUUUUUUAGUCUAAUUCAGGACAAAAAAAGCUUUCAUCGAAAGAACAGA